UCCCUUGUGGCUCAGAUGGCAAAGAAUCCGCCUGCAAUGCGGGAGACCUGGGUUCGAGCCCCGGGUUGGGAA
rnacentral:tRNA from 1 species